rnacentral:rRNA from 1 species
GAUGAACGCUGGCGGCGUGCCUAAUACAUGCAAGUCGAGCGAACGGACGAGAAGCUUGCUUCUCUGAUGUUAGCGGCGGACGGGUGAGUAACACGUGGAUAACCUACCUAUAAGACUGGGAUAACUUCGGGAAACCGGGGCUAAUACCGGAUAAUAUUUUGAACCGCAUGGUUCAAAAGUGAAAGACGGUCUUGCUGUCACUUAUAGAUGGAUCCGCGCUGCAUUAGCUAGUUGGUAAGGUAACGGCUUACCAAGGCAACGAUGCAUAGCCGACCUGAGAGGGUGAUCGGCCACACUGGAACUGAGACACGGUCCAGACUCCUACGGGAGGCAGCAGUAGGGAAUCUUCCGCAAUGGGCGAAAGCCUGACGGAGCAACGCCGCGUGAGUGAUGAAGGUCUUCGGAUCGUAAAACUCUGUUAUUAGGGAAGAACAUAUGUGUAAGUAACUGUGCACAUCUUGACGGUACCUAAUCAGAAAGCCACGGCUAACUACGUGCCAGCAGCCGCGGUAAUACGUAGGUGGCAAGCGUUAUCCGGAAUUAUUGGGCGUAAAGCGCGCGUAGGCGGUUUUUUAAGUCUGAUGUGAAAGCCCACGGCUCAACCGUGGAGGGUCAUUGGAAACUGGAAAACUUGAGUGCAGAAGAGGAAAGUGGAAUUCCAUGUGUAGCGGUGAAAUGCGCAGAGAUAUGGAGGAACACCAGUGGCGAAGGCGACUUUCUGGUCUGUAACUGACGCUGAUGUGCGAAAGCGUGGGGAUCAAACAGGAUUAGAUACCCUGGUAGUCCACGCCGUAAACGAUGAGUGCUAAGUGUUAGGGGGUUUCCGCCCCUUAGUGCUGCAGCUAACGCAUUAAGCACUCCGCCUGGGGAGUACGACCGCAAGGUUGAAACUCAAAGGAAUUGACGGGGACCCGCACAAGCGGUGGAGCAUGUGGUUUAAUUCGAAGCAACGCGAAGAACCUUACCAAAUCUUGACAUCCUUUGACAACUCUAGAGAUAGAGCCUUCCCCUUCGGGGGACAAAGUGACAGGUGGUGCAUGGUUGUCGUCAGCUCGUGUCGUGAGAUGUUGGGUUAAGUCCCGCAACGAGCGCAACCCUUAAGCUUAGUUGCCAUCAUUAAGUUGGGCACUCUAAGUUGACUGCCGGUGACAAACCGGAGGAAGGUGGGGAUGACGUCAAAUCAUCAUGCCCCUUAUGAUUUGGGCUACACACGUGCUACAAUGGACAAUACAAAGGGCAGCGAAACCGCGAGGUCAAGCAAAUCCCAUAAAGUUGUUCUCAGUUCGGAUUGUAGUCUGCAACUCGACUACAUGAAGCUGGAAUCGCUAGUAAUCGUAGAUCAGCAUGCUACGGUGAAUACGUUCCCGGGUCU